GAGAGUCGACUCUUGCUGUCUUUGGAGUCGACCUGCCAACCAUCGGAGUCGACUCGCGUUCCACUGGAGCGACUCGAAUCUCAGACCCGAAAAUUGCUCUCUGACUUUUUCUUUGUAUUCCUCUUGGAGUCGACUCUUACUACCCUGGAGUCGACUCGGUGAACAUCGGAGUCGACUCGCGCACUUCGGGAGUCGACUCGUUGACAGGUUCUGAGUUGAAGCUUUCUGUUCGUCUGUCUGUUCUCAAUCGGAGUCGACUCGUACAGAUCGGGAGUCGACUC
rnacentral:lncRNA from 1 species